CGUAGGCGGCCUGCUAAGUCGGACGUGAAAUCCCUCGGCUCAACCGGGGAACUGCGUCCGAUACUGGCGAGGCUUGAAUCCGGAAGAGGAGGGCGGAAUUCCCGGUGUAGCGGUGAAAUGCGUAGAUAUCGGGAGGAACAUCAGUGGCGAAGGCGGCCCUCUGGUCCAGUACUGACACUCAAGUGCGAAAGCGUGGGGAGCAAACA
rnacentral:rRNA from 1 species